UACGAGGGGGGCAAGUGUUGUUCGGAAUUACUGGGCGUAAAGGGCGCGUAGGCGGGCUCUUAAGUUGGAUGUUUAAAACCGGGGCCUAACCCCGGCGUGGCAUCCAAAACUGGGAGUCUUGAAUGGGACAGAGGCCAGUGGAAUUAGAGGUGUAGCGGUGGAAUGCGUAGAUAUCUCUAAGAACACCAGUUGCGAAGGCGGCUGGCUGGGUCCACAUUGACGCUGAGGCUCGAAAGCGUGGGGAGCAAACAGG
rnacentral:rRNA from 1 species